rnacentral:rRNA from 1 species
GUGGGGAAUAUUGGACAAUGGGGGCAACCCUGAUCCAGCCAUGCCGCGUGUGUGAAGAAGGCCUUCGGGUUGUAAAGCACUUUAAGCGAGGAGGAAGGGCUUCUGGUUAAUACCUAGGAGCAUUGACGUUACUCGCAGAAUAAGCACCGGCUAACUCUGUGCCAGCAGCCGCGGUAAUACAGAGGGUGCAAGCGUUAAUCGGAAUUACUGGGCGUAAAGCGCGCGUAGGCGGUUGUGUAAGUUGGAUGUGAAAUCCCCGGGCUUAACCUGGGCACUGCAUUCAAAACUGCACGGCUAGAGUAUGGGAGAGGAAGGUAGAAUUCCAGGUGUAGCGGUGAAAUGCGUAGAGAUCUGGAGGAAUACCGAUGGCGAAGGCAGCCUUCUGGCCUAAUACUGACGCUGAGGUGCGAAAGCAUGGGGAGCAA